UUCGAACCCCAGCGAACACAGCAAGAAAAAUUUUCCCUCCCGCGCGCCUCUCCCGAACCUCGCCUCCCGCGGACAGCGCCCUGCGCCGGCCGCCGCGACCCCCACCGAACCCCCCCUUGCGCCGGCCGCCGCGACCAGCACCCAACCCUCCCUUGCGCCGGCCCCCUCGCCCCCAACGAAUCCGCCCUGCAACGGAGCAGGGCCCCCCGCCGAAACCCCCCUGCGCCUCUGAAGAACAACCCUUCUAGGGUUGGGGGAAAUUUCCUGCAGCGGAGGCGGUCGGCGAUGAGGUCACACCAGGGCUUGGAGACGCACUUGAAUCGGAAGCGGGACUUGGCGGCGACGCGCGAGAGGAUCUCCACGAGGGCAUCGUCGGAGGGGCACGCCACCAGAGCCCGCCGCACCAUCCGAGCGAGGCGCACGGCAGCGAGGCGCGCCUCCUCCCGGCGUCCACGCGGUGCCUGCUCCUGGCCGGCGGCUUGCGCUCGGGCUCUCGGCUCCUGUCCUCCCGCUAGGCGCUCGGGUCCUGUCAGCCACGGGUCCUCCUGCUCGCGACGGUGCUCAAAUCGGCCGCCACCAAGAUGGCAGCGGGGACGGCGGCGGUGGGGUGGUCGAUGGUGCACGGUGGACACGGUCUUCAACGGCGGCACGCUGGGGAUCAAGCCGCACGCCAUCGAGGUCACCCCUACCGCCGGCCUGGUUGUGCUCGACUCCAUCAAUAGCACAAUCUACAGGUCCUGCUGCCACUGUCACCAUUUGUGAUGGCGUGAAGGGAAAUGGUGCAGCUACUGGGCAAAGAUGGGGAAUCUGAUCCAGAAAGAGCCUAUAGUUCAUUUUUGAAGAUGGAGUUCUCGUUUGGGAUGAAGAGAUGGAUGCAGAGGGAGUGGAAGGAGGAGGAGGUGGUCAAGGAGGAAGUAAAUGAGCCUGACGAGAUAUUCCCAUAGCAUUUGAUUAACUCCUGAUCAGUUUAUUUUUUUUUUAGGCUAUGAACAAUCGCUAUCUGAUGUGCUGCUGAAAUGAGGGUAUAGAGCUUUGAGUGGAUCAGGUUUUGUAGAAGGAAAAA